rnacentral:rRNA from 1 species
GGAGGAUCCAAGCGUUAUCCGGAAUCAUUGGGUUUAAAGGGUCCGUAGGCGGUCUUAUAAGUCAGUGGUGAAAGCCCAUCGCUCAACGAUGGAACUGCCAUUGAUACUGUAAGACUUGAAUGCUUAGGAAGUAACUAGAAUAUGUAGUGUAGCGGUGAAAUGCUUAGAUAUUACAUGGAAUACCAAUUGCGAAGGCAGGUUACUACUAAGUGAUUGACGCUGAUGGACGAAAGCGUGGGGAGCGAAC